rnacentral:rRNA from 1 species
GUGCCUAACACAUGCAAGUCGAACGGUAACAGGUCUUCGGAUGCUGACGAGUGGCGCACGGGUGAGUAACGCGUGGAUAUCUGCCUAUUAGUGGGGGACAACUUGUGGAAACGCAAGCUAAUACCGCAUAAUCCCUACGGGGGAAAGCAGGGGACCUUCGGGCCUUGUGCUGAUAGAUGAGUCCGCGUCUGAUUAGCUAGUUGGUAGGGUAAAGGCCUACCAAGGCGAUGAUCAGUAUCUGGUUUGAGAGGAUGAUCAGACACACUGGAACUGAGACACGGUCCAGACUUCUACGGAAGGCAGCAGUGGGGAAUAUUGCACAAUGGGCGCAAGCCUGAUGCAGCGACGCCGCGUGUGGGAAGAAGGCUUUAGGGUUGUAAACCACUUUCAAUUGGGAAGAAGAGAUGAGAGUUAAUAACUUUCUGAUUUGACGGUACCUUUAGAAGAAGCACCGGCUAAUUUCGUGCCAGCAGCCGCGGUAAUACGAAAGGUGCAAGCGUUGUUCGGAUUUACUGGGCGUAAAGAGAGUGUAGGUUGUUUAUUAAGUCGGAUGUGAAAUCCCGGGGCUCAACCUCGGAACUGCAUUCGAUACUGGUAGACUAGAGUUCGGGAGGGGUAAGCGGAAUUCCGUGUGUAGCAGUGAAAUGCGUAGAUAUACGGAGGAACACCUGAGGCGAAGGCGGCUUACUGGACCGAUACUGACACUGAGACUCGAAAGCGUGGGUAGCAAACAGGAUUAGAUACCCUGGUAGUCCACGCCCUAAACGAUGUCAACUAGCCGUUGCGGGUAUCGACCCCUGCAGUGGCGAAGCUAACGCGAUAAGUUGACCGCCUGGGGAGUACGG